rnacentral:tmRNA from 1 species
AAUUAAGAAGAUAAGUAUUGAGUGGCUGUUUCUGGCCUCGCUCACUAUCGAAAAUCUAAUCAGGAAAUAAGCGCGUAGAAAGCUUUUUAGUUGCUUGUUUGGACCCGAGUUCGAUUCUCGGCGACUCCACAA